UUGUAACUGCCACCGGGUAGUGAAUGCGAUUGCAUUCGUUUUCACAUCGUUAGGUCUUAGAAGAUGUGAAUGCGGGUGCUAUUUUUUU
rnacentral:ncRNA from 1 species